UUGAAGCCCUCUCUUUCCUACUGGUAUUUAAGUCACAGAGAGUCAUUACAAGUGCAGCUAAAAUUAAGUCAGGUUUUAAAAACACGUCCAUUACUGGAAACGGUAAAAUUUCUUACGCUCUUUGCAUUGUAGGAAAAGGCACAAGCACUUGAACAACACAGAGGAGGAGCUGUCAACGGGUUUCGUGCUUGGUGGCAAGCAGUACAGCGCACACUUACCAGAGUUUGGCAUGCCAAUCCUUCACAGCACUAAAGCUGGUAGAGCCGUGAGUGUCCAGAAAAAGCAGGCGGGUAGGAAACUGAGAGGAGCCAGGAGAUGGCAUUUCUCUAAGAACCUCAUGACUGCGUCAGCGUAAUCAGUAAAAAGCAACUGACAGAUCUUGCAGUAGAAAUGGUGUAGUGAAAUAAAUACAGUAUCUUAAACAGGAUUAAAAUAGAACAUUUUACUAGUUAUUUCAAAGAAUAGAUUCUUUUUUCUUCCAUCAUUCUUGUCUGUAUGUUCAGAUUCCAGCUAAACUCCAAACAGAUAUUUCUUUUUGUUAGGUACCAAGUCCAAAUAUGCCAAGGUAAAAGAUUUAGGAGAAAGAAAUAGUCGAUCUUUUUGUUUCUCGCAUGGUAGGCUACGUUGCGUUUCUCAUGCCUAAAAACAAGUACUGUCACUCAAAAUAUUUGGUCAGAAACCUCAAGUUGAAAAGGAGGUAUUUGACAGAAAUGUCACAUUUACAUUAGCAUAACAUGCGAACAGCUUCUAAAGACAAACACUAAAAGAAGUUUCCCGUAGGAGAACCUGUGCGAGGGGAAAACAAACAAAAUCACGGUAGCACAAGUCCAUUUACUACCAGAGCAGAACCAACAACAACCGUCAUCCAGAUCUUGAGCUAGUUCGAUCUCAUCCUGAAGAAGUUGGCGUAACGUAACAGGAUGCUUUUCUCAUGUAAAUAUACGCUUGUUUUUCUUUUUUUCCCUAAUAUCUCAUUGGAGAAGAACAGUUUGCUCUGUAUUGCUAAUGCUUUUUAGCUACUACCUGGUAGUUAUGAACAACAGUAUCUCACAGCUCCCUGCUGAAGGUGUAAAAUGACGCAUUCACUACUUCAAGUUACAAGCAGAAAUUAAAAGCAGCUGCCAGUAUUUUAUAGCGUCUACUUCACAACUAAUGCGUACUUCAAAGAUUUUGAAACAAUUCUGUGUCUUCUGUCAGACUUUGCCCUUCACAGCUGCAUUUAGACGUAUUAACCUUGGAAAAUGUUCACUUUUUAUCCCCUUCACCACGAUCCGUUUAUCUUACAGCAGGUUUCUGUUUGAGUGGAAUGGAGUUUGUACCAUUUAAUCCAGCAGCUAUCUGGGCUUGAAAAUCUAUCUAUCCCCUCCCUAUUAAUUACUUUUUACACCUCUUUCUGUCUCAUAGAGUCCUGUAUCAUCCUGGUUUAUUUCAGCGGAAUACAGCCAUAGGAUGACAAUUAUUGAUGGAUCGUAGAAACUGGAGCUAAAAGACUGUAAAAAGAAGAAAACAUAACUGAUGUGGGAAGAGAUGAAAAGAUGAAAAAUUGUCUAGAGAAGAAAAUUGGAAUGAGUUAAUUCACGAAAGAAAAUGAAUAAAUCGCGGACAGGUAGCUCUGAAUAAGAUUAAUUGCUACACGUUUCCUUCUCCUUUACAAUUUUUACCGUACUUAAUCAACUGUUUCACAGUUCUGCUUAAAUACUCUUACAAAUGCUAAUUCCACUGUUACUUAAGUUUGGUACUUCGGCGUCGAGUGAGAUUCUCUGCUUGCAUAAACUGGCUGUAUCGCUAUUGACUUUGGUACUGUUAGUCAAAUUUAACCAGCCGAGGAUUUGCUCCGUUGACUUUCAUGGAUUUAUUUUUAAUUUAUUCCUCUGAGCUCAGACUCAAGAGCUCUGGAUAUAAAUCUUGAACAUAAAUAGACACUUUCCAAAUCUAAACAGUAUAGCCACAAGUACCGAUACAGGAAAAACAAGCUAGGCAUGUAUAGAACUUUCUGAAAAGUCAACCAAAUGUUGCUGUGCAUAUAUUAGUAGUUUACCAUUUAUUAAACAAUAAAUCAAGAUAAAAAAAACUAAUUAACUUAAAUGAAGUAUUGUUUAGUGAAACGUGAGCCUGUCAAAAUAGUUGCUGGGGGACAAUUAAUUGGUACAAAUGUGAGUGCAAAUUUUGUUUUUAAACUUUAAAGCAUGUCGUCUGUAGUAUACAACGUAUGCGCACGAUACAAAUUUCAUACAUUUUCUUCAGUGACAAUAAAAAGUGCAGUUUAUUAUAAACUGAAGUAAAAAUUAAAAUUAAAAAAAAAAA